GCAUCCAUAGUGAGAGCUCUCUGGUUUAUAUAUUCAUUGCUCCUCCUAAACAUAGCUUUGCACUGGGGAUGUCAGAACUCGCCAAGAGGAAGACUCUGGUGUCAGUCACAGGCUGGGUCAAGACCAGCCCUCCUGUGAUGCUGGUCAGAUCUUCAUACUAAAUUGACAGCACCAAUCAGACUCUCAUUGCCUUUUACUGGAGACUUGGACAUAUUUACAGCCAGCUAAAUUAAGAUCAUCUCUGCUUAUCAGAGAGAUCAUAAAAACACUGAGCCUCAAAAGGUAAAGAGAUCAGAAAAUACAUAUUUAAGAGUCAAGCCAUUAGAGGCCUUCCUUGAGAUGAGAGAUUCUCCUGGUGGCCUUGAAGAAGCAGGCACCCAUGAGUUCUACAGCAGUGAGAAAAGAAUUUUGUCAACAACCAUAUGAGCUUAGAAGACCCUGAGCCUGGAAUGAACCCCCAAUCCUGCAGUCCCUUUGAGAUCCUGAACAGGGGACCGAGGUUGUCUUAUGCCUUAACUCCUGACCCAUGAAAACUGUACAAUAAUAAACAUGUACUCUU